rnacentral:RNase_P_RNA from 1 species
CCAGUCGGCCGGAUGACCGCCGCGGCGCGUUUUGCGCCUUGCGGAGGAAAGUCCGGGCUCCAUGGAAACACGGCGCCGGAUAACGUCCGGCGGGGGCGACCCCAGGGACAGUGCCACAGAAAGCAAACCGCCUCGGGCUUCCCGCGGUAAGGGUGAAAGGGUGUGGUAAGAGCGCACCGCACGUCUGGUAACAGGCGCGGCACGGCAAACCCCGCCGGGAGCAAGACCGAAUAGGGACGGCACGGCUGCGCCGGAAACGGUGGCAGCGGGCGGGUUUUCACGCCGCCGUCCGGGUUGGUUGCUUGAGGCGUCCAGCGAUGGACGUCCCAGAUGAAUGGUCAUCGCGGGUAGGACCCCGUACAGAACCCGGCUUACAGGCCGGCUGGCUCC